rnacentral:rRNA from 1 species
GAUCAUGGCUCAGGAUGAACGCUAGCUACAGGCUUAACACAUGCAAGUCGAGGGGAAACGAUAUUGGAAGCUUGCUUCCGAUAGGCGUCGACCGGCGCACGGGUGAGUAACGCGUAUCCAACCUGCCCGUCACUUGGGAAUAACCUUGCGAAAGUAAGACUAAUGCCCAAUGACAUUUAUAGAAGGCAUCUGAAAUGAAUUAAAGAUUUAUCGGUGAUGGAUGGGGAUGCGUCUGAUUAGCUUGUUGGCGGGGUAACGGCCCACCAAGGCGACGAUCAGUAGGGGUUCUGAGAGGAAGGUCCCCCACAUUGGAACUGAGACACGGUCCAAACUCCUACGGGAGGCAGCAGUGAGGAAUAUUGGUCAAUGGGCGAGAGCCUGAACCAGCCAAGUAGCGUGCAGGAAGACGGCCCUAUGGGUUGUAAACUGCUUUUAUAGGGGAAUAAAGUGAGCCACGUGUGGUUUUUUGCAUGUACCCUAUGAAUAAGGACCGGCUAAUUCCGUG